UAGGAUGUAGCUCAGUGGCAGAGUGCCUGCCUAAUAUCCACAGGCCCUGGAUUUGAUCCCCAGCAUCAUAA
rnacentral:tRNA from 1 species